GCCCAGCUUGCUGGGUGGAUCAGUGGCGAACGGGUGAGUAACACGUGAGCAACCUGCCCUCCACUUCGGGAUAAGCCUUGGAAACGAGGUCUAAUACCGGAUACGAGCACUUACCGCAUGGUGGGUGUUGGAAAGUUUUUCGGUGGGGGAUGGGCUCGCGGCCUAUCAGCUUGUUGGUGGGGUAAUGGCCUACCAAGGCGUCGACGGGUAGCCGGCCUGAGAGGGCGACCGGCCACACUGGGACUGAGACACGGCCCAGACUCCUACGGGAGGCAGCAGUGGGGAAUAUUGCACAAUGGGCGAAAGCCUGAUGCAGCGACGCCACGUGAGGGAUGACGGCCUUCGGGUUGUAAACCUCUUUCAGCAGGGAAGAAGCGCAAGUGACGGUACCUGCAGAAGAAGCGCCGGCUAACUACGUGCCAGCAGCCGCGGUAAUACGUAGGGCGCAAGCGUUGUCCGGAAUUAUUGGGCGUAAAGAGCUCGUAGGCGGUCUGUCGCGUCUGGUGUGAAAUCCCAUGGCUCAACUGUGGGCUUGCAUCGGGUACGGGCAGACUAGAGUGCUGUAGGGGAGACUGGAAUUCCUGGUGUAGCGGUGGAAUGCGCAGAUAUCAGGAGGAACACCGAUGGCGAAGGCAGGUCUCUGGGCAGUUACUGACGCUGAGGAGCGAAAGCAUGGGGAGCGAACAGGAUUAGAUACCCUGGUAGUCCAUGCCGUAAACGUUGGGCACUAGGUGUGGGGCCAGUUCCACUGGUUCUGUGCCGCAGCUAACGCAUUAAGUGCCCCGCCUGGGGAGUACGGCCGCAAGGCUAAAACUCAAAGGAAUUGACGGGGGCCCGCACAAGCGGCGGAGCAUGCGGAUUAAUUCGAUGCAACGCGAAGAACCUUACCAAGGCUUGACAUGUACGAGAAAGCCCCAGAGAUGGGGUUCUCUUUGGACACUCGUACACAGGUGGUGCAUGGUUGUCGUCAGCUCGUGUCGUGAGAUGUUGGGUUAAGUCCCGCAACGAGCGCAACCCUUAUCCUAUGUUGCCAGCGGGUUAUGCCGGGGACUCAUGGGAGACUGCCGGGGUCAACUCGGAGGAAGGUGGGGAUGACGUCAAAUCAUCAUGCCCCUUAUGUCUUGGGCUUCACGCAUGCUACAAUGGCCGGUACAGAGGGCUGCGAUACCGUGAGGUGGAGCGAAUCCCAAAAAGCCGGUCUCAGUUCGGAUCGGGGUCUGCAACUCGACCCCGUGAAGUCGGAGUCGCUAGUAAUCGCAGAUCAGCAACGCUGCGGUGAAUACGUUCCCGGGCCUUGUACACACCGCCCGUCAAGUCACGAAAGUUGGUAACACCCGAAGCUCACGGCCCAACCCGCAAGGGAGGG
rnacentral:rRNA from 1 species